GAUUACUCUGAUGAUUGCUCGACCAGCUAGUUGCACGCAAACCGCCAUCGCAACAUUUCUCUCGCCUUGCUCCUGCGAAAUCUGCUGCACCUCUUCAUUGUACGCGGGUGGCCUCAUGGCGAAACAGAGGCUUUUCAAAGGUCUCGCGAGGAGAAGCAAUAAGUGGAGCAUGUAAGACUAGUUCGUUACGGAGAAGUUAAUUGGUAAGUUAAUUUAUCUCUUCGUGGCAAAGAUGCACACUAUCGCGAUGGAAAACUUAUGACGUGCGCUCACGCGACCUCGUUUUUCGUGAACGUCUAUUUUUUAUCGCGGAAUUUCCCCGACGUGAGCAACACGAACCAACAACGUGGCCUGUCCUAUGUCAGUGACUUUUAUUGCGACUUUUACGUAUCUCUUUAAUAUACCACCGAUGUGUUAAAGAUUCUCUUGCUGCAUGUACGCUUUUAUACAAAAUUGAAUCAAAAAGUACAAAUGCAUAAAUUCUGCGAUCUUAGGCAGAAACAAAGUGCAACCAAAUAAACAAUCACACAAGAUUUUUGUUUAGCUACACAAAAUUGAUAUUGCAAAUUUGCGAUUAUUAUAUUUCUUAUUAUUAGUGCAUUUUGUUCAUUUCCUAGAUAGCACAGAACUCUCUCAGAAAAUAUUUAUUUUUUAUGUGAAAAUAAUUCUUUUUCUUUAUGAAUAAAUUUUUGUUGAGAAAAUAUACAGUCAGUAAUAUGAGAUAUACAAGGCGUAUGAGAAUAGCGUGAAUAAUAUGCUUGUUUAACAAUCUAUAUUCACUUUUAUAAUCACUUUAUAUUAUAUAUGGUAACAAUAUAAUGAGUGACAAUACAUCGGUUUGCAAUCGCCAAACGCACAACACCUUAAAUUAUGAUCACACAAAAAUACUCAUGGAUGGAUUUCACUAAUACGAAGACGUUUCGUAUAUUUAUUAAAUGCACGUGAACGAUUAAAAAAUCAGUCAAAAUUUACAUAAUUUUUUUCGCUUUGUUAGUAUCGCCAGUUAGGCCGAAGCAGUGUAGUAUUCUUUGAUUAUACAGUUUAACAGUCAAAGGCCUAUUCACACAUUUAGUGUUACAUGCGGCCAUCCAAUUGGUGGUAUCAAUAAGCAUAGAUUGAAUGCAUUUUCCGCAAAUAGAGCUCAGAAUCAGACGGCCAUAUCUGACGCUAAAUACAGUGCUAACUUUUUCUCUUCGAUAUAUAUCGUUUUCCUCAAUAUCGUAAAUACGCGUUCUCUAACGUGCGACCGUGUAGUUUAAUGUCACUCGGUAUAGUUAUACCGUUUCAUGGAUAUGUUCCGUGUUGUGGUUUAAAUUAUUUGGCACCAUGGAUAUUCGUAAAUAAAAUGUUUAAAAAAUUGUCAAAUUAUGACGUCUGUUUCUCCGUACGUAAUUGUAAAUUAAAAUUAGUUACUUAAUAAAUGAACAUCAUGAAUAGAUCAUAUAAUAUGAUUUAAAAUGCAUAAAAUAGCAUAAAUAUCAAAAACAGUUUUAUCAGACAUUUUUAAUAGUCAGAAAUCUCAAAACUGGUCCAUUCAAAGACUCCAAGAAAUCCUGAAACGUAUAUAAUAGUGCAGAAACAACUCAUGAUACAUUCAGAUCAUUUUCUUAAUAAAGACUCGACAAUGAGAGAAUUUAAAUGCUGAUAAGAAUACGAAGGAAAACGAUUUUAUCCAAAGACACGCGUGAAAUUUGUGAAAGUAUAAUUGAAAAUGAUUUUCAAAACGUGCAGAGAGUGUUUACACGUGUUUUGGUGUAAUGCAGGAUCGUACAUUAUAAUAAACCAUUAUGCUAUAUAAAUCAUCCUAUUAUCACGACAAAACAUUACUCGAAUCCAUAAACUUGUCUCAUAAAUUCGAUAAUGCGUCAUACAUUACACUAAUAAAUCUAAUAUAUCGCAUAAAUUAUUAUUAGAUCAAAUGUUUUUCAUUAGAUAUUCGAAGAGACGCACUAUUUUCAAGCAAAGCUAUAUAUUACAGAUUACGUGUAUCCUUUCGUAGAUGAAAACCAUCAUAUGUUGUAAAAAUAUACACGCAAUCUAUGAAUACAUUGUAAUAAUUAUUAUUAAUAAUAAUCCAUUAAUAUUAGUCUUAACGAGUGUUCUUUCUUGGUGAACGAUAUCUCAUCGUGGCAAUGUGUCCAAGUAUUACUCAGCUACACAUAUAACGCAAAUUGUAAUAUGCAAAUUGGUAAAAUCACUAGAAGUCCUUACGUACACGAAUUCGUUUUAUUACGUAUGUAACACAUAUUGUAGAAUUUUGAUUAAACCCGUAAAGCGCAAAAGCUACAUAUAAAACUGGACUGCGAUCAUUAACGUUAAUUUGAGUAAUAUAUAUAGAAACUAAUACAAAGUUUUUCUGAAAUCUAUAAACAAUCUAUAUCUCAAAUGCCAUUCGUACGUUAAAA
rnacentral:lncRNA from 1 species